CCGGGGGCUGGGUGGCCUCCUCUCUUCUGGCCCUAAUGACGGACCUUUUCUCUUGGGCCUCUUUUUGCAGUCGCUCCUUAACUGCCCACAAUGGGCGCCUUGUUUCAUCCAUUCUCGUCAACUCUCAGGAAAGGGAGACCUUGAGAAAGGAAUUUAACCCCCUGAAAAUAUAAAUCAACCCCUGAAGUCUGGAAACUCUAGAGUUGUGACUGUGUGCAGUGCCACUGUUAUCGUCUUAUUUUUCUUGGAAGCACCACUUAAUGAAAUCAGACACAUGAAUUGAGUAGUUUGAGAAAUGAUAUUAUGAAUUUAGAAUGCUUCCACCAAAGCAUUUCAUGGGGUGCAACUACAUGGUAGAAAUAAUGAUUGGUGCUGCUGUCAACAUGAGCUGUUACCAGAGUUACAUAACAUUGAGCCAUGGCAAUAAAAGUGGCAUCAAAUGAAUGAAUCCUACAGUAUAGAUGCCCUCCAUGGUGAUAAAAGGUCUAGGAACCAAGUCCUGUGUUGAAUAGUUGAGAGAACUGGGUAUGUUUAUCCUGAAGAAGAGAAAACUAAGAUAGUAAUAACUGCUUAACAUUAGAAUCAAUUGCCUAGGAAGAUGGCCAACUUGAUGAUAUAAGGUAUUUGCAUGCAUAACGGGAAGGGAAAAGAAGCAGAGUGGCUAUUGGCUUUGUAGCUGAAAAUCAUGUGGAAGAGUUGAAUGUGGACCAUCCCCGAAUAGUAAGGUAAAUUCACCAGAGAAAAAAGUGAAACUGGUUAUGGCAAACUCACCACGAUGAAUUUGAUAUUUGGUGUUAACAGAGGCCACAUCUACACUGCCAUAUAAUCCAAUUUGAACUGAAUUAUAAUGACCAGUAUAGACUCAUAUAAUGCAGAUUGGAGCACUUUGAAUAUGAGUCUUCAUAUCCAAUCCAGUUUAAUGCCAUUAAUCCGCAUUCUGAAACUGUAUGUUAUGGCAGUGUAGAUAGAGCCAGAGUCACCUCAGAGCAAAUGUGGACCAAGAAAAUAUGGUCAAACCAUUUUUUGUUUUGUUUUGGGUUUUUUGUCAGUGUAAAUAAGCCCUGUGAUUCUCUAGGAUCAGGUUUGGUUGACAAUUCUGCAAGUCCACAAUUCUAUGAUUUUGUCUUUUGGAGAAGCUGCUGCUAGAGAUAAACAUAAUUGUGAGAUUAACCUGUCUCUUAACUUUUAUAUAAUCAGCUCAUUUGCUUGUUUGGUUUACCCUAUAACCCAGUUUUCUCCCAUACAGAACUCCCAUACAGAACCCUUACCAAAGAGGAAGAUGCUUUCUUUUUAAUUCAAGUUACGGAGGAUGAAAGGAAAGAACCUACAUAUAGAUGAUAAGAAUGCAUGCAUGGUUGUACUCUGAAAGUUUAACCUUUCAAAGGUGUUUCAUUUAAAAUCGAGUCAUUUCAGAGAAACAUCUAGAAGUUUAUGUUAAUUUUUCCUUUAAAAAAGAAAUAAGAAUUAUUCAUGAAACAUCCAGAAAUAAAGAAAUGUAAUAAAACAAUUGUGCAUGCCUUUUCAAACACUGCAGAUGCAGACACACAGCUGAAUUCUUCUAAUAUUGUGCCUUAAGCAUUCUCUUGCCACAUACUAUGGGUGGGGGGAACUCCUUAGCUAUACAGUUAAUUUUAUCAACUUUUAAAGAUGCUUUUAAAAUGUCCCUGUUUCCUUCUUCCAUUUUUACUCAUUGUUCUCAAUUUACUUCAGUUGAAACAAAAUAAAUUCAAAGUGCAAAAGUAGUUUGUACUCAAGUAACUCCAUCUGGGAGGGCGGUGGCAGAAUUUUGCCCUUCCCAAUAAACCAGAAGGCAAACUGCUAUAGCCUCUUCUA